rnacentral:lncRNA from 1 species
GGUGGUGUGGAAAAUAUGGAGGCCUUGGCUGCAGAUCUUGGGUGUAAGGUUGGAAGUCUUCCGUCCACUUAUUUGGGAUUGCUAUUAGGUGCGCCUCAUAGAUCUGUGGCCGUCUAGGAUGGAGUGGAGGAGAGAAUGCGGAAGAAAUUGGCUAGGUGGAAGAGCCAAUACAUUUCCAAAGGAUGAAGGAUCACCUUGAUACAGAGCACUUUGGCGAGUAUGCCCAUUUACUUCAUGCCUGUGCUUUCUAUGCCCAAAAAGUUCAGAUUGAGGAUAGAGCAGAUUCAAAGGGAUUUUUUAUGGGGAGGUGGGGCCCUUGAGCGGAAACCUUAUCUUGUUCGAUGGGGUUUGGUUUGCCUAGAUAAAAACAAAGGGGGGUUGGGGUAAAGAGGCUAUCUACCCUCAAUAAGGCUCUUUUGUGUAAGUGGAGCUGGAGAUUUGCAAAUGAGAGAGAGGCCUUUUGGAAUCUAGUGAUUAGGGGAAAGUAUGGGGAGGAGCAAGGGGGUUGGUGUUCUAAGGAAGUGAGGGGUGGGUAUGGUCUGGGGUUGUGGAAAACAUUUAGGAAGGAGUGGACUGUUGUAAGUAGUAGGCUUUAUUUUGUGUUGGGGAAUGGGCAAAGGGUGAAAUUCUGGAAAGAUAGAUGGUGUGGGGAUGAACUUCUAUGUGUUUCUUUUCCCUCUUUAUUUGCUUUAGCUGUUUUCAAGGAUGCUUGGGUAAAAAGAUGUGUGGUGUUCCAAUGAGGGUGGGGGGAGUUGGAGCCUGCUUUUCUCUAAACUGUUUAAUGAUUGGGAGAUGGAUGAGGUGUGUAGGUUCUUUUCGGGCCUUAAUGGGAAGAGUGUUCAGCAGGCUGUGGAAGAUAAGGUGAUUUGGAGAGAGACUAAAUAUGAAAAAUUUUCUGUUAAGUUUCUCUACAAAUUAUUAGUCUCAAGCUUUCCAGCCUCUUUCCCUUCAUCGUCCAUUUGGAAUGUUUACGUGCAGCCUAGGGUAAGUUUUUUUGGGUGGGAAGCAACAUGGGGAAAGGCUCUUACCUUGGAUCAGCUUCAGAAGAGAGGAUGACCUUUAGCGAAUAGAUGCUACCUUUGUCAAAGGCACGAAGAAUCAAUAGAUCACAUUCUUCUCCAUUGCGCCAAGGCAAGGACUCUUUGGGCAUUGCUUUGCUCUCUUUUUGGGGUGCAGUGGGUGCUGCCAGCCACAGUUAAGGCGACGCUUCUGGGAUGGGACGGGUCUUUUGUGGGAAAAAAGAGGAAGGGAGUUUGGAGAGCAAACCCUUUGUGUCUUUUUUGGAUGGUUUGGAAGGUAAGGAACAAAGUUGUUUUUGAGGAAGAAGAGCUGUCAAUCCAAAGACUUAAGAAUUUGUUUGUAUAUUUCCUUUGGUCGGAGACUAAACUAUUUAUAAAAGAUGGUCCUUCGACUUUAGUUGAUUUUAUUGAUUGAGUGGGAACCCGUUGAGGGUGGGGUUUGGGCUGCACCUUCGUCCUUGGCAUCCAGCUAGGAAGUGGGGGGUGUUUUUUCCUUUGUAAUCUUUAAGCCGCUGCUUUGGCGGAUUUUUAAUACAAUUUUAACCUUUACUUAUCCAAAAAAAAAAAAAAAAAAAAAAAAAAAAAAAAAAAAAAAAAACAA